ensembl:lncRNA
ACCAAACCCAGUCUGCCAUUUUUGUCUAAUACCCCCUAACAUGGAAGACGGAGGGGUCGAAUGAGAAGAGGCUACGCUGUGUGCUAGUGACUUACGACGAGCAGGACCUGUUCUUAGAGAGAAGAGCUGAACAUUCCUCUUUGUGGUUUGCAAAGAGACCAAAAGAAAACCUGCACAAAACUAUUAACAACAGCCAAUCCUUGCUGAACAUUUUCACAUCAGUCCUCUGAGACCGACACACCCCCCAGUACAUAGUUGUAUAUUCUUCGUUGUGGGUCCUUCUAGUUGUGGCAUGUGGGACGCUGCCUCAGCGUGGCUUGAUGAGCAGCGCCGUGUCCACGCCCAGGAUUUGAAUCAAUGAAACACUGGGCCGCCUGCAGCGGAGCGCGCAAACUUAACUACUCGGCCACGGGGCCAGCCCCUCACAGUUUUAGGACCCAGGACCUACAGGAGCCCAGCACAGACGGGAGAGCCUUCAGGCUCCCCUUCAGCCACCGUCUCCAGCUAGAAGUCCAGGGAACAAAGAGUCACUAGACAGCAUAAACCAAGGAAAUCAGAGCAAUCUUCAAGAAGCAAAAACCCCCAAGACAGAUAUAAGCAUGUGCUGAGGACAGAAGACAAUGACUGGGAUUUCUGCAAGCUAGGAAGGCAAACGAGACGCUUGCGUGGAGCCAGUCCUACAAAAGGCAACUACCUCAGUGCAGGCAAACUGGAAAAAUAAAAUUAAUAUCACAGCAAGAACACAGUGAGAACUCUUGCCUCUGUCAGUUUUGACUCUGGGUAAAGAGGGGAAACAAAGGCUCCUCUAAGAAUUACUAACCACAAGGUGACCAUCGUAUAGGUUUAGUGUCCAAAUUCAUACUAUUUGAGUGGUCUGAAAAACCCAACCUGAGAACUGAAUUUAAAUAAUUACAGGUUAGUAACGACCCAAGGAGCCUGGAAGGAGCAAUCACAAAUCUCUGGGGAAGUUCAAGUCUCAAAGAAUUCCUACAGAAAAGUUCCAAUAACCAUCAGCUCACAGUAAAAUAAAAAAGAAAAAUCACAGACACGUGAGAAAACAAACAACCAUGAGCAAGAGUCAGUAGAAAUAACGAAUAAUAGCAUCAGACCCAGAAGAGCAUAUACAUUGGAAAAAUUAGCUAUAAAAUUUAAAUGAAAUGUAUUUAAUGUAUUCAAAGAAAUGAAAAGGGAUAUUAAAAGUAUGACCAAGGAAUCGGAAAGUAUUUUUUGAAAGACUAGGAAUACUUGAUAUUAAGGAAUUAUAAUGAGUUUUUAAGGAGGUAAGAAAAUGGUACUGUUAUUUGUUGUUGGGUUUUUUUGCUAAGAUUUGCCCUGAGCUAACAUCUGUUGCCAAUCUUCCUACUGUUUUGUUUUAUCUGCUUGAGAAAGACUAGCCCUGAGCUGACAUCUGUGCCAGUCUUCUUCUAUUUUGUAUGAAGGUUGUUGCCACAGCAUGGCCAACAAGUGGUGUAGGUCCAUGCCCAGGAUCUGAUCCUGCGAAACAGCACCACUGAAGGGAGCACACUGAACUCAACCGCUACACCAUGGGGCCAACCUCUUAUUGUUUGUUUUAGAAACAGAAUCCUUGUCUAUUAGAGAUACGUAUUGAACUAUUACAGAUAAAAUGAUAUGAUGUCUGGGAUUUGCUUUGGAAUUAUCUAGAGUGAGAGAGGCAGUAGGCAGAGAUAUAGAGGAAACAAGAUGAGCCAUGAAUUAUUCAUUGUUGACGCUAGAUAAUGACUAUGUAGGGGUUUACUAUACUCUUCUUUUUACUUUGAUAUGUUUGAAGUUUUUCACACUAAUUUUUUUUAAUGAGGAGGCAGUGUGAAGAAAAGCCAAACAGAACUUCUGAAAAUAAAAAAGUAUACUAAAUAAAAUUAGAGACUCAACGGACAUAUUAUAGAUCAUAUUAGACACAGUUGACAAGAGAAUUACUGUACCAGAAGACAAAUAUGAAGU